rnacentral:rRNA from 1 species
GACGUAGGGCGCGAGCGUUGUCCGGAUUUAUUGGGCGUACAGAGCUCGUAGGCGGCUUGUCGCGUCGUCCGUGAAAACUUGGGGCUCAACCCCAAGCUUGCGGUCGAUACGGGCAGGCUAGAGUUCGGUAGGGGAGACUGGAAUUCCUGGUGUAGCGGUGAAAUGCGCAGAUAUCAGGAGGAACGCCGGUGGCGAAGGCGGGUCUCUGGGCCGAUACUGACGCUGAGGAGCGAAAGCGUGGGGAGCGAACAGG